CACCCCAUUAACAGAUUAAACGUUACAGGUGUUCGUCUCGGAGUUGUAGACUCUUACACACUUCGCUUCUUCCAUAAACAAAUGUGAAUGCGAAAAAAAGAAAAAAAAAAAUCAUAAUCACCGGCGCACGUUAGCAUUCGCCCCAUCUCCUUCCCUUUUACAUUAAACGGUUUCGUGGAUUUCGCAUCGAUUUCCUUUUCUUCAGUCGGACUCGACGGUGACUUCACUCACUCUGACACCCCCGGCGCAUGUUAUAAUCGGCCGCUUAGCACUCGCUCGCUCGCUCACUCUGUUUUCUUCUGUAGUUUCAGAUUUGUUCUCGUCUGCAUUGCAGAAUUCAAAGCCUCCGACCAGAUUGCAGAUUUUUCAAUUGUGAUCGAGUAUGCGAGGUCGUCUACGAGAUGCUUACUCCACUUACAAGCGUGUAAAUUCUUUGAAUGGCCAUGAUAAAGAAGAAAAUUUAGGGCGAUGGCAGAAUGGUUUUGGGAAAGAAGCUGGAAACCCCUCGUGGAAACGUCCUCUGCCGCAUAUACUUGUGGCAAUUAUUUCAUCGCUUUUAUUUGGCUACCACCUUGGGGUGGUUAAUGACACACUUGAAAGUAUUUCUACAGACCUUGGCUUUAGCGGGAGUACGCUUGCUGAAGGUCUAGUCGUUAGUACAUGCUUAGGGGGUGCCUUUGUGGGAUCAUUAUUCAGUGGUUGGAUUGCGGAUGGAGUUGGGCGCCGAAGGGCAUUCCAAUUGUGUGCUUUACCAAUGAUUUUUGGGGCUUCAAUAAGUGCCACAACAAAUACUCUGGGUGGUAUGCUUCUUGGGAGGUUUUUUGUUGGAACUGGAAUGGGUCUUGGCCCUCCUGUUGCAGCUCUCUAUGUGGCAGAGGUUUCACCGGCUUUUGCUAGGGGUACUUAUGGAAGCUUCACUCAAAUAGCAACAUGUCUUGGACUUAUAGGGGCUCUAUUAAUUGGAAUCCCAGCCAAGGAUACUGUGGGUUGGUGGCGGGUUUGUUUCUGGGUAUCUGUCAUUCCUGCUGUAGUACUAGCUGUUUUAAUCGGGUUCUGUGCAGAGAGUCCUCAUUGGCUUUUUAAGAGAGGAAGAAUUGCUGAAACUGAAGCUGAAUUUGAGAAGCUUUUAGGAGGAUCGCAUGUCAAAUCUGCAAUGGUAGAAAUAGAAUCGUCAAAGUCAGACAGAGUGGAUGAGGCGGAUAAUGUAAAAACUUCGGAGUUAUUCUAUGGUCGUCAUAAAAAAGUGGUUUUUAUUGGCUCUAUCCUAUUUGCUUUACAACAACUAUCUGGUAUAAAUGCUGUAUUCUAUUUCUCUUCAACUGUAUUUAAGAGCGCAGGAGUCCCUCCAGACAAAGCAAACAUAUGUGUAGGAAUUGCAAAUUUAUCAGGCUCAAUUAUUGCGAUGAUUUUGAUGGAUAGACUGGGAAGGAAGGUGCUUCUUCUUGGGAGUUUCUUGGGCAUGGCAGUGUCAAUGGGUUUCCAGGUAACUGCAGCAAGUUCUUUGUUAUCAGGCUCUGGAGAGUUGUACCUAUCCGUUGGUGGCAUGCUGAUGUUUGUCUUCACAUUUGCCCUAGGCGCUGGACCAGUCCCUAGUCUCCUCCUAUCAGAAAUAUUCCCUAACCGAAUAAGAGCAAAGGCAAUGGCAAUCUGCAUGGCAGUGCACUGGGUGAUAAAUUUUUUUGUCGGUUUGUUGUUUCUGCGCCUGCUGGAGCAACUUGGGGCACAAGUUCUCUACACAAUCUUCGCUACCUUUUGCUUGAUAGCUGUGGUUUUUGUGAAGAGGAAUGUGAUGGAAACGAAAGGAAAAUCACUCCAAGAAAUUGAGAUUGCACUUCUGCCUGUUGAUUAGAGAUCAUUUUCACGUAAUCUCCUCAUCACUAAGACCAUUUCCCGUGGUGGCCUUCAGUUUGGGGUGCUAGGUGAGGCAGAAAAGGAGGCUAAAGAACAUGUAGGCAACGAAUUGUUUGUAUGCCGCUUCAUAUCUUUGUUCGGCUUCCACUCGAGUUUAGGUGUGUGAUUACAGUGAAUAGAUGAUGCCAUCACCGGAGAAUUUGCAGACACUUCUUUCUGUCGUUCAUCGGGUGGUCACUCGGGAAGGCGUCUAUAUAUUAUACGAUGUCUUUCAUCGACAUUAUACUAGCAACUGUUCAUAUGUGUAAUUGAAGUUUGUAUAUUUAAAAUUUCCAGGACCAUGGUCCUGUCUUCUUGUAGUUCAUUCACGCACUCUCACCAUUUUAUUCUGUGAAAGAAUCACAAUUCAUAGCAGCCAAACUGAAGCUUCUUCACUUAUAGUACAAAGAUUUUGGUUGGUGACCAAGUGUUCUGUUAAGAGUUUGGUCUAUUUUGAUAUAUUAUGUUGUGUUUGACAGCAUCAAAUCUUUUGGCUAUUGAAAUUA